CGUUCUCCAAAGCCCCUAAAUUCAGGUGAGCUAUUGCAGAGCACAGAAAUAGAGCGUGUCUCCGGAACAUCCAGCCCCAACUCCGUGAGGUCCAGGCUACUACCAACCCUGGGAUGCUAAUACACCGCACAGCAGCAGCCUCAUCAUGACUCACCUCCAGAAACUCAAAUUCGUCCGCUUUGGCCAAGGUGAGUUCCACCUCCGCCUUCAGUUUCUGCAUCUCAUUCCUCUUCUUGACGAGAACCUGGUAGAUGGUCUCCAGCUUUCCGAAGACCCUCUUCUCUUCCUCCUUCAGCUUGCAUGUGGAGCUGGUCUCCGCCGAGUCAAUGACAGCUUUCAUCUCCAUAUACUCUAGUCUCAGCUGUUCCAUCUUCCUGUUCAUAGCGUCCUACGAGGCCAAGAUGAAGAGGCUCCUGUCAGAGUGGUAAAAUGCUAAGGCUGCGCUCCUGUGUGUCGGUGAGAGGGGAGCACCAGGAACUGUAUGACACUUCAUGGCACCACUCUGGGCAGCCACUUGGCAAUGUCCUGUCCAUCUGGAGGUAUCACCGUCUCCUCCGAGGAGUUGCGGUUCCCCUGUGCGGGUUGGGAAACUGAGAGCUGCAUCUCCACCAGCACACCUGAAGCCACACAGGCCAAUCCGUGAUAGAGCCGGUAUCAGAACCCGGACCUCAAUAAAGGCAUAGUUGCUGCAGCUCAGCAAUGGUAUUCUUUAAAA